rnacentral:rRNA from 1 species
UAAAGUGGAUUAGCGGCGGACGGGUGAGUAACACGUGAGUAACCUGCCUUAGACAUUGGGAUAGCCUCGGGAAACCGGGAUUAAUACCAAAUAAAAUCAUAACGACACAUGUCAUAACGAUCAAAACUCCGGUGGUCUAAGAUGGACUCGCGUCCCAUUAGCUAGUUGGUAGAGUAAAAGCCUACCAAGGCGACGAUGGGUAGCCGGCCUGAGAGGGUGAACGGCCACAUUGGAACUGAGAAACGGUCCAA